UGAGGUCACUGGUCUGGGAAUUAGCCUCUCAGAGCCCCUCAGCUUAGGAGACUGGAGCCCGAGGCCUAGAAACACAGGUUGCAAGGGCCGAAGGCCAAAGCAUGUCUGUGUAUGUGGAACUGAGGCCCCACCCUCGCCGUUGGCUUGGCACCAGGUUGGUCUGAAGCACAGUGGGUGCUGAUGCUGUGGGUCCAGGUGGUACACAUGUGGAACCACUGACCUAGAGAUUCUUGCAACAGCCCUGGUGGUGAGAGGAGACAAGUGGGAGGGACCGAGAUGGUGACAGCACAGACACAGGGAACGGGAUGCAUGUGUGCUUAAAACCUGCCAGGAGGAAGCUGCUGAGGACAGGUGCAGCUACAGAGAGGAGUGUCCUCCUCCCUCUGCAGGGAUGAGCCUCUUGCCUGUCCCUGAGCUGGGGCCUUGGAAACUUGGGACAGGGAGGAGCCCCAGGCUGAGCGGGAGCACCUCCAGGAGCAGCUGGGGAGGACGACGUAAGCAUGCCAGCCAGGGGAGCAGAGGGACACGAGGGAACCAAUGUAAGGGGGUGGACCAGUCUAGUGUCCUUUCGUUGGAAUCGGUGCCGUGAGACACGUCUGCCCCUCUGCCCUCGAUAUGUGCGGCCCGGGGACCGGAAGACAGCAGCGGGAGGCAGAGACCCGCAAACUCUGCUGCCCAGACGAGCCCCGCACGGACACACUGGCCCUUGAAGAAAAGCCCUGAAGGAUGUGAGCAGCAGUCCUGGCUCAAAGCAGCAGCACGGCACCAGAAUUGGAGGGUCACACGCUCCAGGUGAGUUCUCCAUGAAGACAGCAGUGACAGCCCUCCAGGACCCCCAUUUGGCCCUGCUUGCCCUACAGCCUUGGUCAAUCUCCUCCCCCUUCUCACCUGCAUGUAAUAAACACACCUCAGCCUUGGGUGUCGCGGGACGGCUCCUCAGCUAGGGGACACAUGGCCCUGCAGCCCUGUAACGAGCAACACCCCACUGGGCACCACCCCUGACUGAUCCCAUGGAACUUGGGUUGCUCCCCAAGGAAAGGCCUGGAAGGUGGAAAGCUGGAGUAGGGUGUAGACAAGCAAGCAGGUGAGUCCAUGGGGACAAGUGCCAGGAUCCCCAGACCCACAUUUACACCAACAGGGAAGCCCCACAACUUCCCUUUGGUGGUAGGUCCUUUCCUGAAAGGCUGAAGUCAUUUCCCAAGCCCGGCCUGGCCUGGACACUUGGUUUAACUGACGGAACGUGCGAGAGAGGACGAGGUGCCAAGUCUGGGCCUGGGGCCUGAUGCCUCCUUCAUUGCCCGCUCACUCACCCUCUGGGAGCCCCCGGGCUGCCCCCUGCAUAAGGGAGACAGAGGGUGCCCAUACCCCACUGCAGCCCACCAGCUCAGGGCAAGCCAGCUCCAGGCACUGAUCCGUGGAGCAGCCGGACAGUCGGCCCAGCAGAGCCUAGACCGCCCAUCUGCGGCGUCUUUGGCUAAAUUGAUGGUUGUAUUUCUUUAAUACCACUGUUUGGGGGUGGCCUCUUGCCUUCCUGCCUUCCUUCCUUUUCUUUCUUUCUCUCUCUCUUUUCUUUCUUUCCUUCUCUUUUCUUUCUUCCUUCUAUUUCUCUCUUUCUUUUUUAAUGAAGCAGAAGUUGACAGAUUUAUCUCCGUGGGAAACUAGAAGUUGGCCCAGAAAGUCUCCUGAUGCAGGGUCAUCAGGUCAAGAAGUGGGUAGGGCCGAGGCUGCCCCUGGCAAGAGGGGAUUAAUGAGAGGUGCACGUGUCUACCUGGUUCUCAGCCGUUACCCAAAUGGAAAGCCCCUGCAUCUGGGCGCUUCUCUGCCAAGAAGGGGAACAGAACAGCAUCUCUGUGGGAACCCAGGGAGCCCAGAGGACCCCGAGCAGGGACAUGAAGUGGGAGAACCAUGUCAGUCUGCUCCCAGCAGGACAGCGCAUUAUAGGACCUUAGGUCAUCUUCCACUUACAGCAGGAAAAGUCACAGAUAGUAGAAAAGUCCGGCUUUCUGUCCAGUCACAUAUCACUUUCCCAUCACCAUGCAAAAAGUCAAGCAGCUUUUAGGUGCAUUACUCCUAAAUAUUAAAGAGGAUCCAAAUGUAGGAGG